rnacentral:rRNA from 1 species
CCUACGGGUGACAGCAGUGAGGAAUAUUGGUCAAUGGGCGCACGCCUGAACCAGCUAAGUCGCGUGAGGGAUGACUGCCCUAUGGGUUGUAAACCUCUUUUGUCAGGGAGCAAUGCCCGCCACGUGUAGCGGGAUGGAGAGUACCUGUAGAAAAAGCAUCGGCUAACUCCGUGCCAGCAGCCGCGGUAAUACGGAGGAUGCGAACGUUAUCCGGAUUUAUUGGGUUUAAAGGGUGCGUAGGCGGAAGGUUAAGUCAGCGGGAAAAUUUCGGGGCUCACCCUCGAACUGCCGUUGAAACUGGUGUUCUUGAGUGCGCGAGAAGUAUGCGGAAUGCGUGGUGUAGCGGUGAAAUGCAUAGAUAUCACGAAGAACUCCGAUUGCGAAGGCAGCAUACCGGCGCUCAACUGACGCUGAGGCACGAAAGCGUGGGUAUCGAACAGGAUUAGAUACCCUUGUAGUC